GCAGUGGCAUUGGUUUCUGAGCUUAUUGAUUAAAGACUUACAAAUAGCCACUGCCAGCAGUCAUUACACAUUUAUUUCGGACCAACAAAAGGGGCUUGAUAGUGCACUUUUGGAACUUCUUCCAUAUUGUGAACACAGAUUCUGUGUUCAACACAUGUACAGGAAUUUCAAGAAAAAACAUCCUGGGCAGAUUUUAAAAGAUAGACUAUGGAGCAUUGCAACAGCUACAACUGUUGAGUUGUAUGAGGCAGAACUUGAUGACUUGAAAGAGUAUGACCAGCUUGCAUAUGCAUGGGUCAAAAGGGCACCACCACCACAGCAUUGGUGUCCGGCGAACUCGACCAGAUGCUCCCAGAACAA